AGUGAACGCUGGCGGCAGGCCUAAUACAUGCAAGUCGAACGGCAGCACAGCAGAGCUUGCUCUGUGGGUGGCGAGUGGCGGACGGGUGAGGAAUACAUGGGAAUCUGCCCAGUCGUGGGGGAUAACGUAGGGAAACUUACGCUAAUACCGCAUGCGCCCUUCGGGGAAGCCGGGGACCGUAAGGCCUGGCGCGAUUGGAUGAGCCCAUGUCGGAUUAGCUAGUUGGCGGGGUAAAGGCCCACCAAGGCGACGAUCCGUAGCUGGUCUGAGAGGAUGAUCAGCCACACUGGAACUGAGACACGGUCCAGACUCCUACGGGAGGCAGCAGUAGGGAAUAUUGGACAAUGGGCGCAAGCCUGAUCCAGCCAUGCCGCGUGAGUGAAGAAGGCCCUCGGGUUGUAAAGCUCUUUGUCCGGAAAGAAAGCGCCGGGUUAAUACCCUGGCGUCCUGACGGUACCGAGAAUAAGCACCGGCUAACUUCGUGCCAGCAGCCGCGGUAAUC
rnacentral:rRNA from 1 species